CGUCUAUAUACGUAUAGCAUAUCAAUAAGCGGAGGAAAAGAAACUAACAAGGAUUCCCCUAGUAACGGCGAGUGAAGCGGGAAGAGCUCAAAUUUGAAAUCUUCAAGGGUUUCCCUUGACGAAUUGUAGUUUAAAGAAGUGUUUUCUGUUAGAGAGGUGGUAAAAGUUCUUUGGAAUAGGACAUCAUAGAGGGUGAGAAUCCCGUAUUUGAUCACUUUCUACUAACGUUGUGAUACACUUUCAAAGAGUCGGAUUGUUUGGGAAUGCAGUCCAAAAUGGGUGGUAAAUCUCAUCUAAAGCUAAAUAUUGGCGAGAGACCGAUAGCGAACAAGUACCGUGAGGGAAAGAUGAAAAGAACUUUGAAAAGAGAGUUAAACAGUACGUGAAAUUGUCAAAAGGGAAGCGUUUGACACCAGUGUUGUUUUUCCGAAAAUCAAUUAAGAAUGGCCGGAUUUUAAGUUUCAUGACCUUGAAAGCUUGUUUCUUAUUUUUCUUGUCUUUCUUAAUGCACUUUUCGGUUAACAAGUCAACAUCAAUUUCUUUUGUUGUAAAAGGUUAAGAGGAAGGUGGCUUUACUUUCGGGUAAAGUGUUUAUAGCCUUUUAACUCUGCAAUCGGAGAGAUUGAGGUCUGCAGCGUAGAUCCUUCGGGGCUAGAUACGUUUGUGCUAAGUUAUAGCUUUUCAUAGACAACUUGUUGACUAUGUUUAGUCUUGUAGCUUACUCGCAUGCGCUAUUUUACCUACGCUUAGGAUGU
rnacentral:rRNA from 1 species